GGUUAAGCGACUAAGCGUACACGGUGGAUGCCCUGGCAGUCAGAGGCGAUGAAGGGCGUGCUAAUCUGCGAUAAGCGCCGGUAAGGUGAUAUGAACCGUUAUAACCGGCGAUACCCGAAUGGGGAAACCCAGUGUGAUUCGUCACACUAUCAUUAACUGAAUCCAUAGGUUAAUGAGGCGAACCGGGGGAACUGAAACAUCUAAGUACCCCGAGGAAAAGAAAUCAACCGAGAUUCCCCCAGUAGCGGCGAGCGAACGGGGAGGAGCCCAGAGCCUGAAUCAGCAUGUGUGUUAGUGGAAGCGUCUGGAAAGGCGCGCGAUACAGGGUGACAGCCCCGUACACAAAAGCGCAUGUGCUGUGAGCUCGAUGAGUAGGGCGGGACACGUGGUAUCCUGUCUGAAUAUGGGGGGACCAUCCUCCAAGGCUAAAUACUCCUGACUGACCGAUAGUGAACCAGUACCGUGAGGGAAAGGCGAAAAGAACCCCGGCGAGGGGAGUGAAAAAGAACCUGAAACCGUGUACGUACAAGCAGUGGGAGCCCCACCACUAAGCCAGUGGUGAACUCCACAUCCGCAUCCUUUGCUGAGGAUACGGUUAACGGAGCGAAAGCGACGUUCAACCGCAAAACAAGCAGAGGGGGCUUAGUGGUGGGGUGACUGCGUACCUUUUGUAUAAUGGGUCAGCGACUUAUAUUCUGUAGCAAGGUUAACCGAAUAGGGGAGCCGGAGGGAAACCGAGUCUUAAUUGGGCGUUAAGUUGCAGGGUAUAGACCCGAAACCCGGUGAUCUAGCCAUGGGCAGGUUGAAGGUUGGGUAACACUAACUGGAGGACCGAACCGACUAAUGUUGAAAAAUUAGCGGAUGACCUGUGGCUGGGGGUGAAAGGCCAAUCAAACCGGGAGAUAGCUGGUUCUCCCCGAAAGCUAUUUAGGUAGCGCCUCGUGAAUUCAUCUCCGGGGGUAGAGCACUGUUUCGGCUAGGGGGCCAUCCCGGCUUACCAACCCGAUGCAAACUGCGAAUACCGGAGAAUGUUAUCACGGGAGACACACGGCGGGUGCUAACGUCCGUCGUGAAGAGGGAAACAACCCAGACCGCCAGCUAAGGUCCCAAAGUCAUGGUUAAGUGGGAAACGAUGUGGGAAGGCCCAGACAGCCAGGAUGUUGGCUUAGAAGCAGCCAUCAUUUAAAGAAAGCGUAAUAGCUCACUGGUCGAGUCGGCCUGCGCGGAAGAUGUAACGGGGCUAAACCAUGCACCGAAGCUGCGGCAGCGAACGUAUCACUUAAAGCGAUUCAGCGGGUUACGAUUGACGGAGCGAAGCGACGUCAAAGCGUAUACAAAGUCGAGUCGGUUUAAGGAUACGUUCGUUGGGUAGGGGAGCGUUCUGUAAGCCCGUGAAGGUGGCCUGUGAGGGUUGCUGGAGGUAUCAGAAGUGCGAAUGCUGACAUAAGUAACGAUAAAGCGGGUGAAAAGCCCGCUCGCCGGAAGACCAAGGGUUCCUGUCCAACGUUAAUCGGGGCAGGGUGAGUCGACCCCUAAGGCGAGGCCGAAAGGCGUAGUCGAUGGGAAACGGGUUAAUAUUCCCGUACUUGGUGUUACUGCGAAGGGGGGACGGAGAAGGCUAUGUUGGCCGGGCGACGGUUGUCCCGGUUUAAGCGUGUAGGUGUGUGUUCCAGGUAAAUCCGGUUCACUUUAACACUGAGGCGUGAUGACGAGGCACUACGGUGCUGAAGCAACAAAUGCCCUGCUUCCAGGAAAAGCCUCUAAGCAUCAGGUAACACGAAAUCGUACCCCAAACCGACACAGGUGGUCAGGUAGAGAAUACCAAGGCGCUUGAGAGAACUCGGGUGAAGGAACUAGGCAAAAUGGUGCCGUAACUUCGGGAGAAGGCACGCUGACACGUAGGUGAAGUGAUUUACUCAUGGAGCUGAAGUCAGUCGAAGAUACCAGCUGGCUGCAACUGUUUAUUAAAAACACAGCACUGUGCAAACACGAAAGUGGACGUAUACGGUGUGACGCCUGCCCGGUGCCGGAAGGUUAAUUGAUGGGGUCAGCGCAAGCGAAGCUCCUGAUCGAAGCCCCGGUAAACGGCGGCCGUAACUAUAACGGUCCUAAGGUAGCGAAAUUCCUUGUCGGGUAAGUUCCGACCUGCACGAAUGGCGUAAUGAUGGCCAGGCUGUCUCCACCCGAGACUCAGUGAAAUUGAACUCGCUGUGAAGAUGCAGUGUACCCGCGGCAAGACGGAAAGACCCCGUGAACCUUUACUAUAGCUUGACACUGAACAUUGAGCCUUGAUGUGUAGGAUAGGUGGGAGGCUUUGAAGUGUGGACGCCAGUCUGCAUGGAGCCGACCUUGAAAUACCACCCUUUAAUGUUUGAUGUUCUAACGUGGACCCGUAAUCCGGGUUGCGGACAGUGUCUGGUGGGUAGUUUGACUGGGGCGGUCUCCUCCUAAAGAGUAACGGAGGAGCACGAAGGUUGGCUAAUCCUGGUCGGACAUCAGGAGGUUAGUGCAAUGGCAUAAGCCAGCUUGACUGCGAGCGUGACGGCGCGAGCAGGUGCGAAAGCAGGUCAUAGUGAUCCGGUGGUUCUGAAUGGAAGGGCCAUCGCUCAACGGAUAAAAGGUACUCCGGGGAUAACAGGCUGAUACCGCCCAAGAGUUCAUAUCGACGGCGGUGUUUGGCACCUCGAUGUCGGCUCAUCACAUCCUGGGGCUGAAGUAGGUCCCAAGGGUAUGGCUGUUCGCCAUUUAAAGUGGUACGCGAGCUGGGUUUAGAACGUCGUGAGACAGUUCGGUCCCUAUCUGCCGUGGGCGCUGGAGAACUGAGGGGGGCUGCUCCUAGUACGAGAGGACCGGAGUGGACGCAUCACUGGUGUUCGGGUUGUCAUGCCAAUGGCACUGCCCGGUAGCUAAAUGCGGAAGAGAUAAGUGCUGAAAGCAUCUAAGCACGAAACUUGCCCCGAGAUGAGUUCUCCCUGAGACUUAGAGUCUCCUGAAGGAACGUUGAAGACGACGACGUUGAUAGGCCGGGUGUGUAAGCGCAGCGAUGCGUUGAGCUAACCGGUACUAAUGAACCGUGAGGCUUAACCUU
rnacentral:rRNA from 1 species